rnacentral:rRNA from 1 species
AAAGGAAUAGACGGGGGCCCGCACAAGCGGCGGAGCAUGUGGCUUAAUUCGAUGCAACGCGAAGAACCUUACCUAGGCUUGACAUGCAAGGAAAUCUCCCAGAGAUGGGAGGUCCGCAAGGGCUUUGCACAGGUGGUGCAUGGCUGUCGUCAGCUCGUGUCGUGAGAUGUUGGGUUAAGUCCCGCAACGAGCGCAACCCUCGUCCUAUGUUGCCAGCGAGUCAUGUCGGGGACUCAUAGGAGACCGCCGGGGUCAACUCGGAGGAAGGUGGGGAUGACGUCAAGUCAUCAUGCCCCUUAUGUCUAGGGCUGCACACAUGCUACAAUGGCCGGUACAAAGGGCUGCGAUACCGCAAGGUGGAGCGAAUCCCAUAAAGCCGGUCUCAGUUCGGAUUGGGGUCUGCAACUCGACCCCAUGAAGUCGGAGUCGCUAGUAAUCGCAGAUCAGCAACGCUGCGGUGAAUACGUUCCCGGGCCUUGUACACACCGCCCGU